GCCGUUUCUGGGAACUGGUACUCUGUUGCUCCCCAUCAGACACAAUUUCUUCUUCCUCAUCAUCUGAGGGAGGGAGAUCAAUGCCAUCAGUGUAAGCUGCAACUUUUUUUGGAGCCUUUGCUUGAGGUUUAGCACCACCACUCAAAGAUGAAGAUCCCUUUUUCGGUUUAUCUGAUUUCUGAUCCAUAUUGGCAAGCAUUUCUGACACCGAAAGCUUCUCUCUCUUCCCAGAAGCAUCUUUGCCAGGCUUGACUUUGGCAUUUCCACCACCUUCUUCUGUUUUCUUCCUUCCCAUU
rnacentral:misc_RNA from 1 species